GGUACAAGAUUCUAUUUUGCUCCCUCUGCCUAGGAAGGAAAACAUCCAACAUCUGCAGAUAUGACCAUACACCAAUGUACAUUCUCGACCCUGCGGAGAGUGGAGGCAAUGCUGUUUAAUCUGGACUGGUGUUGUUUACAUUGGCUGUGGUUCUGCUGUGGAUGAUGUUCUGUUUUAUUUCCGUUUAUCUCCUGCUUGGCCUCAUCAAAGAAAGAGAAAGUGGGAAGAUCGUGUUGCAGGUUUUAUAUGCCCAUCUGUUCUCUGAUUGGUUGUUUUUCUGCCUCUGUUAACUGUUUCUUUGUUGCUGACGGUAUCAGUAAAUAAGGAUUUAGCAAA